CCACCCAAUGGCAGAGGCCCCUCCUGAGCGACCUGCUGCCUCUGCACAGUCGAUAGGGAGAGGGAAGCUUUCGCGUCCAGGCCGAGGACAGCUCUGCUCCCCUCUCAGAGCAAAUUCCGUGUCUCUAACUUCCCAAAGAGAGGAAUGGAGACGGAGAGAGAAACAUCAAUGAUGAGAAAGAAUCACUGGGGAUCGAGCCUGCAACCCAGGCAGGUGCCCUGACCGGGAAUCGAAAAGUGACCUCCUGGUUCACAGGUGGAUGCUCAACCACGGAGCCACCCAGGCCAGGCUGGAUUUGCCCUUUUUGCCAUGACGAAUGACCAACAGCUCCUGGGCAUUGCUUUCUUCGGAAAUGUCCCUACUGCCACUAGGGGCAGAAUUAGCCUAACAUUUAAGAACCAGCAUGCAAUCCCUGUGAUUUUGCAAACUGAAUGGUGGGGGCUGAGCUGCAUUACUGCGUUUGUGGCCCCUUUGUUUGCCUUAAUGGACCCUUUUCUCCAUUAAAAAAAAAAUUGGUUAAAAAUUA